ensembl:lncRNA
AAAAAGAAAAAUCACAAUGUGUGCCUGCUUUUUUAUAUCAUCAUACCCUGAAAGACUUGUUUCAAAUGAUUUUUAUAAUCAUAGCGAUGAAUAUUGCAGAAUUAAAUUUGCUCUCUGCUUCACAGCUCCAAAAGCAAAGGCAGCGGCUGUCAACAUACCCAAAACGAGAAGAUCUCGAGCCUCAGAGGACAUGGAAGUGUCAGCUGCUCCAGCUCCGAUACAGGAUCUUCCUAUGUGCCGACCAACACCUGUGUACUGCCCAGCGCCACCUGGCUGGUAUGUGCAUCAUAUAGUAACAAGUAGCCCAUUACCACCAUCGGCUAUUCCAGAAUCAGAAGUUCCGAUUUUAACAACUCAUCAAGCUCCUACUUUACUGAAAGAACCAGAAGCUGUUAAGGCAAAGCCAAAACAAGCCACUAAAAAGAAAGAACCAGCUGCGGCAAAAGAAAAAGCCAAAGCAGGUCCUGCGAAGAAGGAGCCCACAGUUACUAAAGCCAAAGUAAAACCUGCAGUGGCAAAGAAAGGGCCAAUCGCUGUGAAAGAGAGGUCUAAAAGGACAGAGCGAGUGAUCACUAAAGAAAAGGCAAAACCUACCUCUACUAAGAAAGAUCCAGCAGUAACAAAGGCGGCAAGAGUAACAACAACCUCACAUAAAGGAAAACCUGUUCCAGAUGAGAAGAAAACGGCAGAAGAAACAAAAGAGAAAGCAGCCGAGGCACCAGCACCAGCAAAAGAUCUGAAACCAGAGGAAAAUGUCACAGAAGGCAAAAAGCCAGGCAAGAUACCGUACUUCCAGUGUGUUUUAAUGAGUUCAAAAUCCAGCCAGUAUCCACUCCGGCCCAUGUCCCCUGCUAUGAGUCCAGCUAUUAACCCAACCAUGAUGAGAGCCAUGAUGGAGCAGAGGGCCGCAUUACUGCAGCAGAAAGCCCGUGCAGCUGGACAGUAAGUGGACGACAGACCCCGUCCGGCCCUGGCAGGUGCAAACUGCUUAUGAACUGCUAUAAAAACAUAGUGCUGCUGGGCUCUCAAGAGCCAUCUUCCUAAACCAUCAGAAACUUUAACAAAUAAUGAGCGGAGGUCCCUGAUUUCUCAGUGGAUGCUCUCCAUUCUUUCAUAAGUGAUUUUUGAAUCCAACCACUUUCUCAAUUUUGACAAAAAAAAAAAAAGAGAUAUAAAUAAAUUAUAAUAUACAUUCUGAAAUAAAUUUAAU